CCCUAGUUCUGCUGGAGUGGAGCUGAGAGAGGCUCUUGGGAGCUGCCUGCGUGGGCAGAGUUUGAAGGCUUAGGAUAUCUCCUGAAGGCCGGAUGGGCCAGUAGAGAUUAACGAGGCUUGAGCUGUCUUGAAAGAUGGCUGCCCUGAGAACUGGCUAGAAGAGGAGACCAAGGAGGCUGUGUGGGUCACCCUUGCAUUGGAGAUGAGGGGAGUCGUGAGAGAUCAGUGGGGAGCCCAUUGCCCUGUUGGGGAACUGCCUGGUGGAGCUUUCCCAGGGAUAUUUUAAAGAACCUACAUGGGAGAAAGCCUGCAUUUGGACAUCUUCCAGGCCAUUCAAUAGCCAAAGAGAACCACCAACAGCUUGAAUCAAAAAAAAGGCCCUCAAAAUAGGCUGAAUGAAAAGAGGUGUGAUCGAUGAAAACUGGCCGCUCCUUCUUUGCAACUCCUUCCAUUAGGUGGUGGAGUCUACGUUGCCCUCCCUUUGAUCCAGGCUGGCCACACAAAUUACUUUCACCAACAGAAUGCUGUAGAAGUGAUACUGCAUGACCUCUGAGCCCAGGCCUUAAGGGACUUUGCAGCUUCUGUUCUUGGCCUCUGGCUGCUCUGUGACUACCAUGGAAGGAGUUCCACACUAACCUCCUGUAGGGUAAGAGACACGUGGAGGCAGACUGAGCCUCCCAGCCAUCCCACUGAGGCUCCAGGCGUGCCAGUGAUGUACCUGGCUGAAGCCUGGCCCCCAGUCACCCACUGACGGCAGCUGCAAAGGUGCCCGUGAUGAGGUACAAUUUGCUUGAUGUCAUCAAUACAGUGAGCCAGUGUGAUAUUCUGCGGAAUUGAAGAUGACUACAGUCCCUUUGGACUACACUAUGACAAAGAACAAGAGUGUUAGCACAGCCCUGGGUGGGUCACUGACAAGAAAAUUCACCUGGAGGCCAAAUUGUCUCUAAUAACAAGUCCAAGACAUGCAUUCCAGCUGGAAUCCUCUUCCCGGAUGGUUGUGUGUUUUUAAUUGCAGUAGCCAUCUCCAAAAAUGCCAUCCAGUAACCAUGCCCUUGUGUGCUGCCCUUUCCAUGAAUCUGAGCUAGCCCCAUAAUUUGCUUUUGGCCAUUGGAUGGUGGUGGAAGUGAUGCUGUGUGACUUUUGAAGCUGAGUUACAAGCAGCCUUGGACAGUCUUUCUAGACCUCGUGGAGGGCUCACUCUGGGGGAAGCCAACCAGCAUGUAAGGAGCAUAACUGCCCUGAGACCGCCGUGUUGUUAGGAUGCCCAGCUAGCUAUGUGGAGAAGCUGCAUAGACUGAGGGAGAAGCCCAGCUAGUCCCCAGUUAUUCCUGCCACCCUAACUGAGGCACCAGACCCAUGAGCAAAGAAACCAUCAUGGAUGUCCUGUCCCAUCCAGCUUCUGUGACUGUAACUGUAUGAGGACCCCAAUGAAAACCACACAGCUGAGCCUAGUCAACACACAGAGCUAUGGAAGAUAAUAGUAAAUUGUUGCUUUAAGCCA
rnacentral:lncRNA from 1 species